GCGAGGAUGGCGGAAUGGCAGACGCGCUGGACUUAGGAUCCAGUGGGACUUCCCGUGGGGGUUCAACUCCCCCUCCUCGCA
rnacentral:tRNA from 1 species